UCAAAAAUUUUAAACUUUUGCAUUUAAAUUUUAUCUUAAUCCAACAUCGAGGUCGCAAACUCUUUUUCUUAUUUGUACUAAAAAAAAAAAUUACGCUGUUAUCCCUAAGGUAAUUGAUUCUUUUAAUCAUAAAUUAUGGAUCAUAAUUUCAUAAAUUAAUGUUAAAUUUUAAAAAAAAGUUUUUUUAAUUUUUCUAUCACCCCAAUAAAAUAAUUAAUUAAUUUUAAAUUUAAAUUAUAUAUAAAAUUUUUAAAUUAAAUAACUAUAAAACUCUAUAGGGUCUUCUCGUCUUUUAUAAUUAUUUUAGCUUUUUAACUAAAAAAUUAAAUUUUAUUUUUAAAAAAGAGACAGUUCAUAUUUCAUCAAAUCAUUCAUACAAGUCUUCAAUUAAAAGACUAUUGAUUAUGCUACCUUUGUACAGUCAAUAUACUGCAGCCCUU
rnacentral:rRNA from 1 species